AGAAAAGCCAUUCUGAGUACUUUAUUUACUAAAUGCACUAAAAAUAAUUCCACAAAUCUAAACCACAAACAGAAUUAUAAAAUUAUCUUUCUUAAGCCAAAAUAUUAAUAGGAAUUAUACAGAGCACACAUGGGCUCUAUAUAAUCUUAUCAAAUUAACUACUUUUCUUUUUUGAAAACGAAACCAUUUAAUGUAGUUACACUAUGCCAGAUUGAACGUAUGCAAUUUUAUAAACUUAAGUAUGCCUAUAUUUAGAAUGCUGACAUUAUAUGUAUAUGUGUGUAUAAUCGCAUGUAGAAUAGUCUGGUCUAGAUUUAUCUUAACUAGUUUAGUUUAUUUAGACCUUGUAGUGGUCAAAGAUUUAUGGUACAUGAUAAUUAAUAGUGAUGGGAACUAAACUAAUUUUUUUUAGUUAAACUAAAAAAAAGUAAUUAAACUUUUAGUUAAUCAAUUAGUUAAACUAAACUAAGAAACUUUAGUUAAACUUUUACUAACUAGUUUGAC